ensembl:snRNA U6 U6 spliceosomal RNA
GUGCUUGCUUUGGUAGCACAUAUUCUAAGGUUGGAAUGAUACAGAGAAGAUUAGCAUGGUCCCUGAGCAAAGAUGACAUGCAAAUCUGUGAAGCAUUUCAUAUUUUU